CAGCAGCCGCGGGAAUACGAAGGGGGCUAGCGUUGCUCGGAAUCACUGGGCGUAAAGGGUGCGUAGGCGGGUCUUUAAGUCAGGGGUGAAAUCCUGGAGCUCAACUCCAGAACUGCCUCUGAUACUGAAGAUCUUGAGUUCGAGAGAAGUAAGUGGAACUGCGAGUGUAGAGGUGAAAUUCGUAGAUAUUCGCAAGAACACCAGUGGCGAAGGCGGCUUACUGGCUCGAAACUGACGCUGAGGCGCGAAAGCGUGGGGAGCAAACAGGAUUAGAGACCCGCGUAGUCCCUGUCUCUUAUAU
rnacentral:rRNA from 1 species